UACGUAGGGUGCGAGCGUUGUCCGGAAUUAUUGGGCGUAAAGAGCUCGUAGGCGGUUUGUCACGUCUGCUGUGAAAUCCCGAGGCUCAACCUCGGGCCUGCAGUGGGUACGGGCAGACUGGAGUGCGGUAGGGGAGAAUGGAAUUCCCGGUGUAGCGGUGAAAUGCGCAGAUAUCGGGAAGAACACCCGUGGCGAAGGCGGUUCUCUGGGACGGUACUGACGCUGAGACGCGAAAGCGUGGGGAGCGAACAGG
rnacentral:rRNA from 1 species